rnacentral:rRNA from 1 species
AGCAGUCGCCGCGGGAAUACGUAGGUGGCAAGCGUUGUCCGGAAUUAUUGGGCGUAAAGGGCUCGCAGGCGGUUUCUUAAGUCUGAUGUGAAAGCCCCCGGCUCAACCGGGGAGGGUCAUUGGAAACUGGGAAACUUGAGUGCAGAAGAGGGGAGUGAAUUCCACGUGUAGCGGUGAAAUGCGUAGAGAUGUGGAGGAACACCAGUGGCGAAGGCGACUCUCUGGUCUGUAACUGACGCUGAGGAGCGAAAGCGUGGGGAGCGAACAGGAUUAGAUACCCCCGUAGUCCCUGUCUCUUAUACC